AUUUAUCUGCAAGCCCCCGACAACAAAGGAGACCGAGGUGAAUUUCUACCCGUGGCAGAUGGCCCUCAGUGCUUACAGUGUAUUGGAGACGCCAGCUGACGGCUUUCUGGGGUCCUUAGACUCCAGUCUGUUACUGCGGCCCGGACCCAAAUUACCUUUAACGUACGAAAACAUGCAAUCAGCCAAUAACUCCAGGGAUGGAUAUUCCGUGGCUGGAGUGAAUGUAGGAGUAAGUUUUAUUCAUGCUGAUGAAGGUAGAACCGCUGUCCAGAGAUACGCUGAACUUCACGUGCAUGGGGUCGAGAUGAGGUCCAUGGGAGGCUCGAACGGGUGACGGACAAUCAAUGAUGUGAUCGUACACCAGCGUUCCUUUCGUUGUCGUGGUUCCAAAUCGACAGUAGAUGGUUCUACAAAUUGCCAUAUUGAAAUGCCUUCCGAACACUUUCACGAUGUUUCCGCCAGUCAAAGGACCCUCUUGAGGAAAUAUAGAUUCGACAAUCGGGUUCGUUUUAUUGAAAGUCAGACUGCAUGCUUCCUGUUUUGUGUUUGUUAUGAAAAGAUUGUAGGAGUUUUGCCACUUGGUGAUUGCGGCCGGUUUCUCGGAGUCUAACAGAGAACUAUACUGGAGAGAAUUCGUUGCCAGGUGGCGCAUGUCAGCAAGCGUCAAAUCCCAUCCCAUGACUGCUUCGUACCAGUCCACCGUGAAUUCAUCGUAUCCAAAUGUAGACGGGUCAUCUGCUCCCAAAACAACGGGUAUGCCAUACCGGAUGUACGUAAUAGCCGGGUGAUGGCGCUGAUCGGGAACAAAUCCCAGCAUUUGGUUACUCACUGGAUUGGCCUCCACGGCAAUUUUCUUCUGCUUUAGCUGCUCCAUUAGAAAGGGGUGGCUCAGAAAACCUAUCCCAUGCCCAACUCUCUUGGCUCCCAACAGAAUUGCAUCGUACGUAUUUUCUAUCGUUGCAACUGGGUCUGUCACGUGAGUCGACGUCAUGUAUUCUGCUGGCCAGUUAGUUUCCGCGGUGUGGAAAAAGUAGGGCAGGGACUCGUUUCGAACCUCUAACUCCGCAAAGUCUCUAAGGUAGAAUAGUAUAGAAAAGCCGAGAUCCUCUUGCGCUACCAUGUCAAAUCCAGCAACAAGAUGAGGAUAUUGCUUAUGAAGUGUGAGUGCUUUCUCUGCAUCGUUCUUCAAAGAGGUUUGGCUUGUUCGUCUGUAAGAGUUUACAAUUCGUUUAUAUCCAAUAAAUGAUGGGUUCUUCUGUUGAAAUUGAUUUAAAACAUCUUCCACAAUAUGAAGCUCUUUCUCGCCUAGAUCAUUGUCUACGUAAUGCUUGCCAUGCGCACUGGUGUAGUUUGGAUCGGAGUCUAAAAAGUAGAGUUUAUUUGAGGCAGAGGUCUUUGUUUCAAAGUACUGUACAUUUUCGUCUAUUGCUGACUGAAACAUCGCUUCCAUGUGGAACCUGGAUAUAUUGAUUUGGUUUACUAUGGCUGAUCCUAUAGUACUGAACAAAGGAUCGAGUGUCUUCCAUCUUAGGCUACUGAUGGUUGGUGCGUUGAGGGCCGCAUCGUCAACGACGCCAAGAAAUGUGGAGUGUUCGAUUAUGACGUCCUUCGUGUAUUUGGGGUUGUCCUUGACCUUCACCCAUCCAGUUGGAGGAUUGAGAUAAAAAUUAAACCGCCAUUUGUUGGGUUCCGGCGACUCUCUGACGUAGAAGUUGUCCAAUAAGUAAGCGUUUUUAUAAAUGAAGUCCAGGAUGGUGGAUUUACUCACAACGUGGUCUGUGCAAAACAAGUAUUUAAAUACAUCAUAACGUAUUUGACAAUUCUGUGGAUGCGUUAAUUCAGAAAAACAUUACUGUAUUUUCCAUUUCAUAAUGUAAAUAAAUAAGAGACUC
rnacentral:misc_RNA from 1 species